CCUACGGGUGGCAGCAGUGAGGAAUAUUGGUCAAUGGCCGGAAGGCUGAACCAGCCAUGCCGCGUGAAGGUCAGUGCCCUAUGGGCGUUAAACUUCUUUUGUGCGGGAGCAAUAAUGGUCACGUGUGGCCAGACGAGAGUACCGUACGAAUAAGCAUCGGCUAACUCCGUGCCAGCAGCCGCGGUAAUACGGGGGAUGCAAGCGUUAUCCGGAUUUAUUGGGUUUAAAGGGUGCGUAGGCUGUGAGGUAAGUCAGCGGUGAAAUGCCCCCGCUCAACGGGGUGAAGUGCCAUUGAUACUGCCUGGCUGGAAUGCGGAGGCGGUGGGAGGAAUGUGUGGUGUAGCGGUGAAAUGCAUAGAUAUCACACAGAACACCGAGUGCGAAGGCAUCUCACGAAUCCGCGAUUGACGCUGAUGCACGAAAGCGUGGGUAUCAAACAGGAUUAGAUACCCCAGUAGUC
rnacentral:rRNA from 1 species